AAAACGGUCCUUUUCAGGACCAACAAAAAAACUUUAAAUGUUGGAA
rfam:Apis mellifera strain DH4 linkage group 1, whole genome shotgun sequence.